rnacentral:rRNA from 1 species
GAUGAACGCUGGCGGCGUGCCUAAUACAUGCAAGUCGAGCGAACGGACGAGAAGCUUGCUUCUCUGAUGUUAGCGGCGGACGGGUGAGUAACACGUGGAUAACCUACCUAUAAGACUGGGAUAACUUCGGGAAACCGGAGCUAAUACCGGAUGAUAUUUUGAACCGCAUGGUUCAAAAGUGAAAGACGGUCUUGCUGUCACUUAUAGAUGGAUCCGCGCUGCAUUAGCUAGUUGGUAAGGUAACGGCUUACCAAGGCAACGAUGCAUAGCCGACCUGAGAGGGUGAUCGGCCACACUGGAGCUGAGACACGGUCCAGACUCCUACGGGAGGCAGCAGUAGGGAAUCUUCCGCAAUGGGCGAAAGCCUGACGGAGCAACGCCGCGUGAGUGAUGAAGGUCUUCGGAUCGUAAAACUCUGUUAUUAGGGAAGAACAUAUGUGUAAGUAACUGUGCACAUCUUGACGGUACCUAAUCAGAAAGCCACGGCUAACUACGUG